rnacentral:rRNA from 1 species
UACGUAGGGGGCUAGCGUUGUCCGGAAUCAUUGGGCGUAAAGCGCGUGUAGGCGGUCCGGUAAGUCCGCUGUGAAAGUCGAGGGCUCAACCCUCGAAUGCCGGUGGAUACUGUCGGGCUAGAGUGCGGAAGAGGCGAGUGGAAUUCCUGGUGUAGCGGUGAAAUGCGCAGAUAUCAGGAGGAACACCUAUUGCGAAGGCAGCUCGCUGGGACGUAACUGACGCUGAGACGCGAAAGCGUGGGGAGCGAACAGG